UUGCGUCUCUCGCGUUCUCCGAACGAAGGGUUGAAAUCGAAACUGACUGCCGAUCGAAACCGACUGCAUGGUUCACCAAAUCGUCGUCUCUGCUACACUCAUCUCUGUUGAUGGCUCGAUUCGUAAUAACCCAUGCAGAAUCGCCCCAUCGGAUUUCUUCGAUCCAGCUUCUUCCCACCCGUAAAAACAAACUCAUCGGAUCCUCCGAACUCUUCACAGAUUCUGAAAACCCUUUUUUUUUUACAAAAAAGAAGGAGUGUAGCAUUGUAGUCUUGUGAUCUUCUCGUGUGUGGUAGUCACGGACAAGCUCAGUCUCAUGUUGUCUCAGUGGAGGAAGCUCAGUGUCACGGGAGUGAAGCACACAAUCUCUGUCUCAUGUCAAUAUUCUUUGUAUUUUUGUAGGGACUGAAGCUUGUAUUGUUGUAGUCAAGGAAGAAGAAAAAAUUGUGUUGUUUUCUUUUCUGUAUCCUUAUUUUUUUUAAGAACCCCAAAAUAGUAAACUACCAUUGGAGACCUAAAAUUAAAGCAGCUUUUAACUAAGGUU